CUUCAGUGAGUUAUCUGAUAACCAAUUAUAAUUUGAUGGCAUUGGGAGGAGAUGGAAACAGGAGUUGGUGCUACUUACAGGGAUUAGGUCAUGGGAAUAUGACUCUGAAAAGUAUAUAUUGUCCCUGGCACCUUAUUCUUCAGCUCUUGUUCUCUCUCUGCUUCCCAGCCACCAUGCUGCCAGCAACUUUUCUCCAGCUAUAAUGUUCUGCCUUACCUCAGUCCCAAAGCAGUGGAGCUGGCUGACCAUGGACUGAGACCUCUGAAAUCGUAAGCCAAAAUAAACCUUUCUCCUUUAAGUUGGCGUUCUUGGGUAUUUUGUCACAGUGAUGAAAAGCUGACCAACAGAGGCUCAAAGAUCAGCAAAAUUGGAAAAUACUGACAGAAGAUUCCCUCCUGCCUGGACCAGAGCAACCCUGGCACAGAGCAACAGAGGAGCACAGAAGCAAUGCAAGACCCUCUGGCAGGCCUGUCCCUUCUGCCCAGCACAGCAGAGGAGCCCAGCCAUGUAGGCACCAAUACAACAGUGCCUGUGCCCACCCGCCAUGAACAAGAGAAAGAGGGCCUCUCUGAGGCUCCUAGAUGAAAAUUGAAACCCACUGGAAAAGUGAAGAAAAUCUCUGCCAUAAGGGCAUACCACAUGACCAUAGAUGUGACCUGUGGUGCUUCCUUCCAGCGUUGGCGGUCUAGACUGAGAGAAAUACAGUUGGCCAAAGGACAGGCAGGUGUGAGACAUUCAGAAUGGCAGUUCAGCCUCAUCCUGGCAGGAAGUGCUUUCAGCUGUUAUCAUACCUGUAGCCAAAAGAUCCCGAUUUCUGGGGAAGUCUUUGAAGAGACACAAAUAUUUCUUUCUCAAGAUGUUUACUGGAGAGUUAAGUGGUUCCAAGCUAAAGAC
rnacentral:lncRNA from 1 species